UACGUAGGCAGCGAGCGUUGUUCGGAGUUACUGGGCGUAAAGAGUGCGUAGGCGGUUUUCUAAGUUUGGUGUGAAAUCUCCCGGCUUAACUGGGAGGGUUCGCCGAAGACUGGAAGGCUUGAGUAUGGGAGAGGUAAGCGGAAUUCCUGGUGUAGCGGUGAAAUGCGUAGAUAUCAGGAGGAACACCUGCGGUGUAGACGGCUUACUGGACCAUAACUGACGCUGAGGCACGAAAGCGUGGGUAGCAAACAGG
rnacentral:rRNA from 1 species